rnacentral:rRNA from 1 species
GACGUAGGAUGCAAGCGUUGUCCGGAAUUAUUGGGCGUAAAGAGUUCGUAGGCGGUUGCCUAAGUCUGGUGUUAAAUACCGAGGCUCAACCUCGGCAUGGCAUUGGAAACUGGGCGGCUAGAGUGCGGUAGAGGUCACGGGAAUUCCAGGUGUAGCGGUGAAAUGCGUAGAUAUCUGGAGGAACACCGGUGGCGAAAGCGCGUGACUGGGCCGUAACUGACGCUGAGGCGCGAAAGCGUGGGGAGCAAACAGG